rnacentral:rRNA from 1 species
AGAGUUUGAUCAUGGCUCAGAACGAACGCUGGCGGCGCGCCUAAUACAUGCAAGUCGAACGAGAAUGUGUAGCAAUACACAUGUACAGUGGCGAACGGGUGAGGACUACAUGGGUAACCUACCCUCGAGUGGGGAAUAACUAGCCGAAAGGUUAGCUAAUACCGCGUACGCUUCCAAGACUGCGGUUUUGGAAGGAAAGCGAUACCGUGGGUAUCGCGCUCUUGGAUGGGCUCAUGCCCUAUCAGCUUGUUGGUGAGGUAACGGCUCACCAAGGCUUCGACGGGUAGCUGAUCUGAGAGGAUGAUCAGCCACACUGGCACUGCGACACGGGCCAGACUCCUACGGGAGGCAGCAGUAAGGAAUAUUGCGCAAUGGGCGAAAGCCUGACGCAGCGACGCCGCGUGGGGGAUGAAGGUCUUCGGAUUGUAAACCCCUUUCGGGAGGGAAGAUGGGAUGGGGUAACCCAUUCGGACGGUACCUCCAGAAGCAGCCACGGCUAACUUCGUGCCAGCAGCCGCGGUAAUACGAAGGUGGCAAGCGUUGUUCGGAUUUACUGGGCGUACAGGGAGCGUAGGCGGUUGGAUAAGCCCUCCGUGAAAUCUCCAGGCUUAACCUGGAAAGUGCAGAGGGGACUGUUCAGCUAGAGGAUGGGAGAGGAGCGCGGAAUUCCCGGUGUAGCGGUGAAAUGCGUAGAGAUCGG